GGGAGUAGCAAUGGCCGCUAGAACCGUGGCAAUGUCAUACCGAGGAUAGUUUUUCAAGAACUCGUUUCUAUAAUUGUUUAACUUAAAGAACAGAAUGUGAAUGUAAGUGCCAUAUAAACUGACAGAGAUGGGUGUAACAGUGAGAAAAAGAAGACCAAACUCAGACAGGGACGAUACAAGGCCAACAACUUAAAAAUCAGGUGUGCCUGGAAUUUCAAGUAGCCCAUUCAUUAGAUGAUAGAAUACUUUUGUAUCUUUAUGUAAAUAUGUAUAUCAAGAUUAGAUGAACGCUCAAAUGUGAAAACAGAUUUAUCACUCCAGUGUUCAGGAAAGUUUUGUUUUCAGUAAGCUGUCAUAGUAACACCUAUUUAAAGGGAUAUGAUACUCAUUUUGUUAUCUUAAUCAGAU